GACGAACGCUGGCGGCGUGCUUAACACAUGCAAGUCGAACGGAGUGGCGAACGGGUGAGUAACACGUGGGUGAACUGCCUUGCACUUCGGGAUAAGCUUGGGAAACUGGGUCCAAAACCGGAUAGUGCAAGAUGAGCUCGCGGCCUAUCAGCUUGUUGGUGGAGUAAUGGCCUACCCAGGGGUCGACGGGUAGCCGGCCUGAGAGGGUGUACGGCCACAAGGGGACUACGAUACGGACCAGACUGCUACGGGAGGCAGUGGGGGCGAAUUGUGCACAACGGGCGGAAGCCUGAUGCAGAGACGCCGGGUGGGGGAAGAACGUCUUCGGGGUGUAAACUCCUUUCGACAGGGACGCGGUACCUGUAUAAGAAGCACCGGCUAACUACGUGCCAGCAGCCGCGGUAAUAC
rnacentral:rRNA from 1 species